rnacentral:rRNA from 1 species
GAUGAACGCUAGCGGCAGGCUUAAUACAUGCAAGUCGUACGGGAUCCGAGGUAGCAAUACUUUGGUGAGAGUGGCGCACGGGUGCGUAACACGUAUGCAACCUACCUAUAACCGGGACACAACCCACCGAAAGGUGAGCUAAUAUCCCAUAACACUGCGAGAUGGCAUCAUAUUGCAGUUAAAACUCCGGUGGUUAUAGAUGGGCAUGCGCGACAUUAGCUCAGUUGGUGAGGUAACGGCCCACCAAGGCUACGAUGUCUAGGGGUUCUGAGAGGAUUAUCCCCCACACUGGUACGGAGACACGGACCAGACUCCUACGGGAGGCAGCAGUAAGGAAUAUUGGUCAAUGGGCGCAAGCCUGAACCAGCCAUGCCGCGUGAAGGAUGACGGCCCUAUGGGUUGUAAACUUCUUUUGUACGGGAAAAAACCACCGGUCGUGUAUCGGUGCUGAUGGUACCGUAAGAAUAAGCAUCGGCUAACUCCGUGCCAGCCGCCGCAGUAAAAC